rnacentral:rRNA from 1 species
UACGUAGGGACCAAGCGUUGUCCGGAAUCAUUGGGCGUAAAGAGCGUGUAGGCGGCUUGUUAAGUCUUGCGUGAAAUCUCGGGGCUCAACCCCGAGCGGUCGUGAGAAACUGGCAGGCUAGGGUGCGGGAGAGGAGACUGGAAUUCCUGGUGUAGCGGUGGAAUGCGCAGAUAUCAGGAGGAACACCGAUGGCGAAGGCAGAGUCUCGGCGAUUACUGACACUGAGAAGCGAAAGCAUGGGGGAGCGAACAGG